rnacentral:lncRNA from 1 species
GAGAAAAGGCAGAACCGAAAAGCCAUUGGAGACCAGACUAGCACCGCGAGCUUCAUUAGACUUCACCAAGCGUCUCCCUCACAGCUCAUGAGCAAGGCCAACAGUUGCUGAUUCCAUUGAGUGUAGCGACAACAGUUCUUCCAUAGUUGCGCCAUUUCACAUUAGCAGCAAUGAUUUCUGCACCGUGAGCAGCAGUGGAAGAUCUUCAUCCCCAGCAGCUUCCUCCAUUUCAAGCAGCUCCUCGCCACGGUUAGUCUCCACCCCAACACCAGAUACUCCAAGAUCAGCCACCGUGGGUAGUGUUGCCACCAGUCACCUCACACAGCAUCGUGAACUCCAACAGCAAGGCAGCUGUCAGCAGCCUUGCAACAACCAGCAUCUCCCUUCUGCACCGUGAGCUUCAAUCACUCCACCAGCAUCACUAGUUCCAUCGUGACUAGCAUCACCAGCAGCUUAUCUCAGCAAAUCAGUAGCUCAUCACGGUGGCGACUGAUUUUUGAAGAGAGGCUGAAGCGUUCCUCAGCAACUCUUCAGUUCCCAGGAACCUAGACAGGGAGGAGAAGAACCCCCAUCU